AGAGUUGAAUUAAUUUGUGUCAGAAGUUGGAUUCCAGAAAGCACUUAUUAAAACAUGAGGAGUCCAUGUUCCAGAUGUCUUCAUCUGCUGUUCUUUGAAGUGUUUACCAAGAAGCUUUUUUGGAUAAAGAAAAGGCCGUGGGGAUUUCAGUGACAAAAGGGGCACUGCAGUCUGUUCCAGACACCUUUCUUUUCUGCUCCACAUUUCUGUAUGAGAGAAAGAAAUCUGAAACAGCUGCUGAAAUUACUGGAAUUAUUUACUGCCUGCAGUGCAACCCUCACAUUCCAGGUCAGGUAACUUGACAAAUGCCUG